rnacentral:rRNA from 1 species
GUGGGGAAUAUUGGGCAAUGGGGGAAACCCUGACCCAGCAACGCCGCGUGAAGGACGAAGGCCUUCGGGUUGUAAACUUCUUUGAUCAGGGACGAAAAAAAUGACGGUACCUGAAGAACAAGCCACGGCUAACUACGUGCCAGCAGCCGCGGUAAUACGUAGGUGGCGAGCGUUAUCCGGAUUUACUGGGUGUAAAGGGCGUGCAGGCGGGUCUGCCAGUCGGGUGUGAAAUUUCCGGGCUUAACCCGGGCGGGUCAUCCGAAACUGCGGAUCUUGAGUACUGGAGAGGAUAGUGGAAUUCCUAGUGUAGCGGUAAAAUGCGUAGAUAUUAGGAGGAACACCAGUGGCGAAGGCGGCUAUCUGGACAGUAACUGACGCUGAGGCGCGAAAGCGUGGGGAGCAAACAGGAUUAGAUACCCGGGUAGUCC